GAUGAACGCUAGCUACAGGCUUAACACAUGCAAGUCGAGGGGUAACGAGAGGAAAGCUUGCUUUCCUUGUCGACGACCGGCGCACGGGUGAGUAACGCGUAUCCAACCUGCCCCCAACUAGGGAAUAACCUUGCGAAAGUAAGACUAAUACCCUAUAAUUUCCUCAGAUGUCAUCUGACGAGGAAUAAAGAUUUAUCGGUUGUGGAUGGGGAUGCGUCUGAUUAGCUUGUUGGCGGGGUAACGGCCCACCAAGGCAACGAUCAGUAGGGGUUCUGAGACGACGGUCCCCCACAUUGGAACUGAGACACGGUCCAAACUUCUACGGGAGGCAGCAGUGAGGAAUAUUGGUCAAUGGGCGGAAGCCUGAACCAGCCAAGUAGCGUGCAGGAUGACGGCCCUAUGGGUUGUAAACUGCUUUUAUACAGGAAUAAAGUUAGCCACGUGUGGUUAUUUGUAGGUACUGUAUGAAUAAGGACCGGCUAAUUCCGUGCCAGCCGCCGCGGUAA
rnacentral:rRNA from 1 species